rnacentral:rRNA from 1 species
CGAACGCUGGCGGCGUGCCUAAUACAUGCAAGUCGAGCGGGUUUAUCCUUCGGGGUAAGCUAGCGGCGGACGGGUGAGUAACACGUAGGCAACCUGCCUUUAAGACUGGGAUAACUAUCGGAAACGAUAGCUAAGACCGGAUAGCUGGUUUUCUCGCAUGAAAGAAUCAUGAAACACGGAGCGAUCUGUGGCUUGAAGAUGGGCCUGCGGCGCAUUAGCUAGUUGGUGAGGUAACGGCUCACCAAGGCGACGAUGCGUAGCCGACCUGAGAGGGUGAACGGCCACACUGGGACUGAGACACGGCCCAGACUCCUACGGGAGGCAGCAGUAGGGAAUCUUCCGCAAUGGACGCAAGUCUGACGGAGCAACGCCGUGUGAGUGAUGAAGGUUUUCGGAUCGUAAAACUCUGUUGUUAGGGAAGAACAAGUACGAGAGUAACUGCUCGUACCUUGACGGUACCUAACCAGAA